rnacentral:tmRNA from 1 species
GGGGGCGACACGGCUUCGACGGGUUUGGAGAUUUCGGAGUUGCGUGCCGAGGUCCGGGGUUCCUCGUAAAACACCCUGGAAAACCAAACAAAUGCCAACAACGAUCUGGCACUGGCCGCUUAACCAAUAGCUGCCCGUUCCCCGGUCUGCCCGCCCGAGGCGGGUCGCGGGAGCGUCGACGAGUCGGGCUGGUCUUCGGUCCACGCCACGGGACCCGAGGACGAGAAUCAAUGUGGCUAGCUCCGGUCAGGGUUGUUCGCCGACCCGACCGGAAGUGAACCGAACGGCGAUCUACGCACGUAGAAGCUUGGAAGGACCCAUUCGCGGACGCGGGUUCGACUCCCGCCGCCUCCAUUU